rnacentral:rRNA from 1 species
CAGUCGCCGCGGUAAUACGUAGGGUGCAAGCGUUAAUCGGAAUUACUGGGCGUAAAGCGUGCGCAGGCGGUUAUAUAAGACAGUCGUGAAAUCCCCGGGCUCAACCUGGGAACUGCGAUUGUGACUGUAUGGCUAGAGUGUGUCAGAGGGGGGUAGAAUUCCACGUGUAGCAGUGAAAUGCGUAGAUAUGUGGAGGAAUACCGAUGGCGAAGGCAGCCCCCUGGGAUAACACUGACGCUCAUGCACGAAAGCGUGGGGAGCAAACAGGAUUAGAUACCCCGGUAGUCCCUGUCUCUUAUAC